rnacentral:rRNA from 1 species
UGCCAGACUCCUACGGGAGGCAGCAGUGGGGAAUAUUGCACAAUGGGGGAAACCCUGAUGCAGCGACGCCGCGUGAGUGAAGAAGUAUUUCGGUAUGUAAAGCUCUAUCAGCAGGAAAGAAAAUGACGGUACCUGACUAAGAAGCCCCGGCUAACUACGUGCCAGCAGCCGCGGUAAUACGUAGGGGGCAAGCGUUAUCCGGAUUUACUGGGUGUAAAGGGAGCGUAGACGGUGAAGCAAGUCUGAAGUGAAAGGCGGGGGCUCAACCCCCGGACUGCUUUGGAAACUGCGGCGCUGGAGUACGGGAGGGGCAGGCGGAAUUCCUGGUGUAGCGGUGAAAUGCGUAGAUAUCAGGAGGAACACCGGUGGCGAAGGCGGCCUGCUGGACUGCAACUGACGUUGAGGCCCGAAAGCGUGGGGAGCAAACAGGAUUAGAUACCCCCGUAUAA